UUGCUCUUCAACGAGGAAUGCCUAGUAAGCGCGUGUCAUCAGCAUGCGUUGAUUACGUCCCUGCCCUUUGUACACACCGCCCGUCGCUACUACCGAUUGAAUGGCUCAGUGAGGCCUUCGGACUGGCUUGGGGAGGUUGGCAACGACCAUCCUAAGCCGGAAAGUUCGUCAAACUCGGUCAUUUAGAGGAAGUAAAAGUCGUAACAAGGUUUCCGUAGGUGAACCUGCGGAAGGAUCAUUAAAUUCAGUAGCUUGCUACUGUUAGGGGGGUCUAUUAGUCUGUAUAGUAUCACUACUGAUGAGCAGCACGACCCUCUGUCUAUACCCUUGUCUUUUGCGCACUCAUGUUUCCUCGGCGGCUUUAUACCCGCCGGCUGGAUCAAUCUAUAACCUUUUUAAUUUUCAAUCAGCGUCUGAAAAACCUAAUAAUUACAACUUUCAACAACGGAUCUCUUGGUUCUGGCAUCGAUGAAGAACGCAGCGAAAUGCGAUAAGUAGUGUGAAUUGCAGAAUUCAGUGAAUCAUCGAAUCUUUGAACGCACAUUGCGCCCCUUGGUAUUCCAUGGGGCAUGCCUGUUCGAGCGUCAUUUGUACCCUCAAGCUCUGCUUGGUGUUGGGUGUUUGUCCACUAUCGUGGACUCGCCUUAAAGUCAUUGGCAGCCAGUGUUUUGGUAUUGAAGCGCAGCACAUUUUGCGCCUCUAGCCUAGAACACUGGCGUCCAGUAAGCCUUUUUCCACUUUUGACCUCGGAUCAGGUAGGGAUACCCGCUGAACUUAAGCAUAUCAAUAAGCGGAGGA
rnacentral:rRNA from 1 species